AAGGAUCAUUACUGUGAUUUAUAUCUUUCUACACAUGCGUGAGCGCAACAAACACCUAAACAUAUGUAACGGAUUAGUCAAACACAACACAAGAAAUCGAAAACUUUCAACAACGGAUCUCUUGGUUCUCGCAUCGAUGAAGAGCGCAGCGAAAUGCGAUACCUAGUGUGAAUUGCAGCCAUCGUGAAUCAUCGAGUUCUUGAACGCACAUUGCGCCCCUUGGCAUUCCAGGGGGCAUGCCUGUUUGAGCGUCGUUUCCUUCUUGCGCAAGCAGAGAUGGUGGGGGGCGUUUAUAUAUGCCGCCCGCUGAAAAGGAGCGAUUGCGGACCGAGCGAACUAAAGUAGUUGCGCGCGGCCGCCGAACUUUUAGACAUACUAACUAAGCUCGACCUCAAAUCAGGUAGGAAUACCCGCUGAACUUAA
rnacentral:rRNA from 1 species